AUGUAGACGUGGGCGACGCGGGAGAAAAUGUAGUAUCUGUUCUUAUCAGGUUAAUUUAUGAUAGGGGUUGUAUUGAGACCCAAGAUAUAAACUUAUUUUUGCAAUUUGGCGGAGGGCUUGAAGCCUGCCUCAUCUCCGCGGCGCGUUGGCCCAGUAGUGCGCUAUCUUCGGCAACGGCCCACGUUUU